rnacentral:rRNA from 1 species
UAAAUGAACAUAAUUUUUAGUACCACCUGCUCAAUGAUUUUAAAUAGCCGCAGUAUCCUGUGCUAAGGUAGCAUAAUCAUUUGCCUAAUAAUUAUAGGAUGGAAUGAAAGGUGAUACAUGUUAUCUUCUUUAUUAAUUAGGUUACUUAAAAUUAACAUUUAAGUAAAAACUCUUAAAUUGCUAGGGGGACGACAAGACCCUGACGAACUUCACACUAUGUUUAGCUGGGGCGGCAAACAAAUUAAACCUUUCCUUCUAAUUUACCCAACCAACCUCUAAAUUGAUAAUCAAGUUACCGCAGGGAUAACAGCAUAAUAUUCUCCUGAAGAUCUUAUACAAGAGAUUAUUUGUGACCUCGAUGUUGAAUUAAAAUUCUUUUAGAGGCAGCACUCUAACAAGAGAGUCUGUUCGACUCUUAAAAAUUU